GGGGAAGUAUGUAUCAGGAAGGCCAGAGAGGGAAGAAAUGGUUAAGCGAGAACAGAAGUAGGUUCUCCAGGGGAGACUCCAUCUCAUUCAAUUGUGAGAAGAUGGCCAGGGCCUGGGCACAGACAUAAUUUAGGUAGCUGGACUUAGGCAGUGUGGACUUUGGGCCUUGAGGGAAAAUAGUAUUUUCAAAGAAAGCAUUUUAAUAAAACAUUUUAAGUCCUGCCCUUCUUUUGGUCUUC
rnacentral:lncRNA from 1 species